CAACGUUUCAGUUCUCUCCAAGGACUUUCAUUAGGAUCAUAAAACCUUUUAUGAUCCUGAUGAAAGUCCUUGGAGAGGACUGAAAUGUU